GUAAUAACGGUCACUGCUGCCUCUUUCCCUCUCCCAGAGGCCACGCUGUGGGUGCGGUUGUCCUUUCGUCCCCUGGGGAUGCCGUUGACUGCAGCAGCCUCAGGCUUGCUUGGGCUGUCCCUGCCUGGCCUCCCUCUCCUCGCGGUGCGGGAGCGCAGAGGGACAGGCGGAGCGCUUACUGGCUGUGGGCGGGAGCUGCGGAAGCUGGAGAGGCCACAGAAAGGUAAAGAAGAAGAAGCGGAAGGCCGUCUGGCUGGCAGCUGCCUCCCGCUGCAGGCAAGAGAGAGCCUGCCUCUCCGGGUGUGGGAGCAUCCCUCCUCGUAGUCCGCAGCAGGUCAGACCGCCAGGGUCUGUAUGCACGACCAGCAGCGGGGUACGGCUACGUAGCGAGCGAGCGAGGCUACGUGUCUAGGAGGCCUCAUCUCGUAAGAGCUGUGAGACACUCGCGUGUUCUGUUACGUGGAGGACAGCCAAGCGACGGGAGUUGCAGAAGAGGAAGGGAGGAGAGAAGGAGAAAGAAGCAUCUGAGCUGGCAAGGUCUCCUGGCAGCUCCAAGAGCGAGAGCUGUGCAGUUGAUAUACAACCUUAUGGAAAGCCCAGGCCGUUGCACAUAGCUGGAGCUUGUAAGGAGAAGCAGCUGAAAUCAGCCGGAGCUUCAGUGCGGAGCUGGGGCUUCAGUGAGCCAGAACUGUAGCAAGCGGGAGCUGGAACGAGGCGGGGUGUCCGCUGUCUGGAGCGUGCGUUAGCCAGAGGCAAAAGUACCUGCGGCUGUAACGAGCAGGAGCCGCGAUGAGCUGGAGCGUCUUUUCGCUGGAGCAUCCGUCGGCCGGACCGCGCUCCCAGCACGGCCGAAGAGUGGCCGGGCGCAGGCAGGGCUGUCCGCAGCGAGCGGCUCCGAGCAGCGGGGAGUGUCACCUUCCGUGUCACACGAAGAAAAUCCUGCGUGGUUAAUUCCGCUUGCUGCUCAGGUGGAUGUCAGCUGCCACCAUUUCACCGUGGUUGCCCUUUCUUCUGCCGUGAAAGUACAAGACAGAUGGAAAGAUUCCGUAGUGGUCUGCAAGUACAAGGUACGCCUACGAUGUGUGUCUGCAUUUUUCCAAAGGUACUUGUAGUAUGGACUUUAAAGUUAACAUUAAGAAUGUGCCAACUCUCCUUCCACAU